rnacentral:rRNA from 1 species
UACAGAGGGUGCGAGCGUUAAUCGGAAUUACUGGGCGUAAAGCGCACGUAGGCGGCUUGGUAUGUCGGGUGUGAAAUCCCCGGGCUCAACCUGGGAACUGCGUCCGAAACUGCCUUGCUCGAGUAUGGGAGAGGGAAGUGGAAUUUCCGGUGUAGCGGUGAAAUGCGUAGAUAUCGGAAGGAACAUCAGUGGCGAAGGCGACUUCCUGGACCAAUACUGACGCUCAGGUGCGAAAGCGUGGGGAGCAAACAGG